rnacentral:rRNA from 1 species
GUGUAGGAUAGGUGGGAGGCUUUGAAGUGUGGACGCCAGUCUGCAUGGAGCCGACCUUGAAAUACCACCCUUUAAUGUUUGAUGUUCUAACGUUGACCCGUAAUCCGGGUUGCGGACAGUGUCUGGUGGGUAGUUUGACUGGGGCGGUCUCCUCCUAAAGAGUAACGGAGGAGCACGAAGGUUGGCUAAUCCUGGUCGGACAUCAGGAGGUUAGUGCAAUGGCAUAAGCCAGCUUGACUGCGAGCGUGACGGCGCGAGCAGGUGCGAAAGCAGGUCAUAGUGAUCCGGUGGUUCUGAAUGGAAGGGCCAUCGCUCAACGGAUAAAAGGUACUCCGGGGAUAACAGGCUGAUACCGCCCAAGAGUUCAUAUCGACGGCGGUGUUUGGCACCUCGAUGUCGGCUCAUCACAUCCUGGGGCUGAAGUAGGUCCCAAGGGUAUGGCUGUUCGCCAUUUAAAGUGGUACGCGAGCUGGGUUUAGAACGUCGUGAGACAGUUCGGUCCCUAUCUGCCGUGGGCGCUGGAGAACUGAGGGGGGCUGCUCCUAGUACGAGAGGACCGGAGUGGACGCAUCACUGGUGUUCGGGUUGUCAUGCCAAUGGCACUGCCCGGUAGCUAAAUGCGGAAGAGAUAAGUGCUGAAAGCAUCUAAGCACGAAACUUGCCCCGAGAUGAGUUCUCCCUGACUCCUUGAGAGUCCUGAAGGAACGUUGAAGACGACGACGUUGAUAGGCCGGGUGUGUAAGCGCAGCGAUGCGUUGAGCUAACCGGUACUAAUGAACCGUGAGG